rnacentral:rRNA from 1 species
UACGGGGGGGGCAAGCGUUGUUCGGAAUUACUGGGCGUAAAGCGCGUGUAGGCGGCUCUUCAAGUCGAGUGUGAAAGCUCCAGGCUUAACCUGGGAAUUGCGCUCGAUACUGUUGAGCUAGAGUGUGGAAGGGGCUACUGGAAUUCCGUGUGUAGCGGUGAAAUGCGUAGAUAUAACGGAGGAACACCUGCGGCGAAGGCGG